rnacentral:lncRNA from 1 species
GAGGGCUGCGGUCAGCCAGUCCAGGAGACCUGCAUAGGUGCCAGCUCACACACAGGAACUUUGUGGAGGCUCUGGCAGGAACGUGUGGGUUCGGCAUACCCAAGGCUGUGUGCCUAGGUGUACCUUUCCCUGGGACUUUGCCUCUCUGGGUCAGUGUUGGUCACAGGCUUGUGCGUUGCUUGCUGGAGGGAGCUUGAGACACCUGAAGAAUGGCCCAGCUCUGGCUGAACUAGAUCCAGGUGUCACGAAUGGCCUGACCCCAUCCUUAACAGACCAAGGUAGCUUGGACAGGAGUAGUCAUGCAGGCCUUCCCCUCCCAGACCCUUCAGUGGCAGUGCUAGUGAUGUAACUUAGGGCAUUGGGCUCACACACGCAAGGAGCUACAUUUCUGGCCCUCCAGUGAUUCUUAAGUGUUCUUACAUGUGACUUCUAUCACAUAUUGUCCAUGGACAGUCAGACAGAGACCCAUGGCCCCGAAUCCAGCCUUAACUUCCUCAGAAUACCUACACUCACAGCAAAUUGCAUACUGGAGUCACAGUGAUGUUGGUUCCCGGUUCCACUUUCUAACUCUCUUAAACACAGCUUUCUUCUCCAUAAAACUGUCAUAGUAAUAGCUACUUCUUAGGCUUUCACUAAUUCAUUUAUACCGUACCAACCACAUCUCAGUAAAUGCCAGCUGACAAGCCAAGACCAGGUGGCUAAGGGGCCGGGCUCCUCC